GACAUGCACUGAUGGUAUGUAAAUACUUCGUGAAAUUCUAAUAAAUGGAGUUGUAAAUAAAACCCACAAUUAUCCGUAACUCAGAUUCCUUGGAAGUUAUUUUGGGAUCAUGAGUUCACAAAGAACUUUAAACUCCUAUUUCAACUUCUGGCUCCCAGUGUCUGUGAUAGAAGAAAGUCAUCUCCAAUUAUGAUAACAGGGCCAGGUUGUUUUUAUUGAAGAGCCUGAGCAAUGAAGAUUCCAGGCAGGUGAUGGAGACACUGUCUCAGGAGUGCAGAGCAGAUCUCAGAGGAACCUGGAGGACACGAGGAACCUGGGGGACACUCAUGUGGAACAUCAGCAGUCAGUUUCUCAGAGUUGCCAGUGAGCUGUGCUGGUUCCUGUGGGAACCACGAUGGGGCCAAGGCACCUGCUCAGCAUCAUGGACAUUGAUGGCCCAGAAAUGAUCUAGGUGGCCUUUAUGCUAAUCACAUAUGGGUUCAGAGUGAGGGGCAUCAUCUGUGGGGACUUGUUCUUCAGUGAAACGUUGCUCUGUGCAAAUAGAAAUGGAGCAGGACGUGGAUUUUCUUAAGCAGGAUACAGGCUUGGACCAUCAGCAUCCCACUCCUGUGUGGUGGAUGUGUCGUGUAUCUUCUUUCUCACUCUCAGUCAGGCUUUGAGCUAUAAAAUAAUCUGUCUCAUGAAUAUGCAAAUAAUGUGAGGUCUACUGAAGUACAUAUGGGUAUGUCUGGGCCCCGAGAGCAUCACCAGCAACCACAUCCCUCCUCUAGAGCAGCCCCUGAGUGUAAAUCUCUUCACCAUGGACUGGACCUGGAGAAUCUUCUGCUUGCUGGCAGCAGCUGCAGGUGCCCACUCCCAGGUGCAGCUGGUGCAGUCUGGGGCUGAGGUGAAGAAGCCUGGGGCCUCCGUGAAGGUCUCCUGCAAGGCUUCCGGAUACACCUUCACCGACUACUACAUGCAGUGGGUGCGACAGGCCCCUGGACAAGGGCUUGAGUGGAUGGGAUGGAUCAACCCUAGUAGUGGUAGCACAAACUAUGCACAGAAGUUCCAGGGAAGAGUCACCAUGACCAGGGACACGUCCACAAGCACAGCCUACAUGGAGCUGAGCAGCCUGAGAUCUGAGGACACGGCUGUGUAUUACUGUGCGAGAGACACAGUGUGAAAACCACAUCCUGAGAGUGUCAGAAACCCCAGGGAGGAGGCAGAUGUGCUGGGGCUGAGGCAGUGAAAGGGAUUAUUAGAUUGAAGACUUUCCUAGAAAGAGAGGUCCAUUCAUGAAGAAAGGGGACCAUAAAAUUUGUAUGCACUGUAAUUACUUGGGAAACUCUCCAUACAACACUUAUUCUGUAGGCAAAAUUCAGGGAGCAGAAAAUAAAUUAGAUUAAUAAAACAUAGAAGAAUUCCUCUGAAGACAUUAGUGUGAACAUCAGUUUUUGAAUUGGUAUUUUUAAUAUUUUGGAACAGAGCUGCUAGAUCACAUUUUAAUUCUACUUUUAUCUUCAUUGUAUGAAGUGUCCAAAUAUUUCAUCAUAUUUUGUGCAGUUCUGAUUUUGGAUUUACACCAGAAAUGCACGAGAGACCGAGUUCUUCCACAUCCUCAUUGCCACUUGGCAUCAUGAGAACUGUGGAUUUAAACCACUCUAAUAAAAUAGUACUGAUAUCUCCUUCUUGUUUAAAUGCACCUGUCCCGAAUUAACAUUUUAUAUUUAAAUAUGUUUAGGCAAUUUGGAUGAAGUGUCUGUUUUGAUAUUUGGCUCAUUUUGUUGCAUUGUUUUCUUUUGAUCAGUUAUAAGUUUCCUUACCUACUAAUUAUAAAAGUCAUUUACCA